rnacentral:rRNA from 1 species
AACGAACGCUGGCGGCAGGCCUAACACAUGCAAGUCGAGCGAGGACUUCGGUUCUAGCGGCGGACGGGUGAGUAACGCGUGGGAAUGUGCCCUUCUCUACGGAAUAGCCCUGGGAAACUGGGAGUAAUACCGUAUACGCCCUAUUGGGGAAAGAUUUAUCGGAGAAGGAUCAGCCCGCGUUGGAUUAGGUAGUUGGUGGUGUAAUGGCCUACCAAGCCGACGAUCCAUAGCUGGUUUGAGAGGAUGAUCAGCCACACUGGGACUGAGACACGGCCCAGACUCCUACGGGAGGCAGUAGUGGGGAAUCUUAGACAAUGGGGGCAACCCUGAUCUAGCCAUGCCGCGUGAGUGAUGAAGGCCUUAGGGUUGUAAAGCUCUUUCAGCUGGGAAGAUAAUGACGGUACCAGCAGAAGAAGCCCCGGCUAACUCCGUG